UGCAGUCGAGCGGUAACAGGUCUUCGGAUGCUGACGAGUGGCGAACGGGUGAGUAAUACAUCGGAACGUGCCCGAUCGUGGGGGAUAACUACUCGAAAGAGUGGCUAAUACCGCAUACNAUCUACGGAUGAAAGCGGGGGAUCGCAAGACCUCGCGCGGACGGAGCGGCCGAUGGCAGAUUAGGUAGUUGGUGGGAUAAAAGCUUACCAAGCCGACGAUCUGUAGCUGGUCUGAGAGGACGACCAGCCACACUGGGACUGAGACACGGCCCACACUCCUACGGGAGGCAGCAGUGGGGAAUUUUGGACAAUGGGGGAAACCCUGAUCCAGCCAUGCCGCGUGCAGGAUGAAGGCCUUCGGGUUGUAAACUGCUUUUGUACGGAACGAAAAGGUUCUUUCUAAUAAAGAGGGCCCAUGACGGUACCGUAAGAAUAAGCACCGGCUAACUACGUGCCAGCAGC
rnacentral:rRNA from 1 species